AUAGAAGUGGCCUGGUGGACAUGGCAUCUGCCCGGUAAGCGGAACACUGUGGGUUCGAUUCCCAUAUUUGUACACUUUUAUU